rnacentral:rRNA from 1 species
UACGUAGGGAGCAAGCGUUGUCCGGAAUCAUUGGGCGUAAAGCGCGCGUAGGCGGCCCUGUAAGUCCGUUGUGAAAGUCCAGGGCUCAACCCUGGAAUGCCGGUGGAUACUGUCGGGCUCGAAUCCGGAAGAGGUGAGUGGAAUUCCUGGUGUAGCGGUGAAAUGCGCAGAUAUCAGGAGGAACACCAAUUGCGAAGGCGGCUCACUGGUCCGGUACUGACGCUGAGGUGCGAAAGCGUGGGGAGCAAACAGG